GACGUAGGGCGCGAGCGUUUGUCCGGAAUCACUGGGCGUAAAGGGCGCGUAGGCGGCUGGGGAAGUCGGUGGUGAAAGCUCGUGGCUCAGCUACGAGCCGGCCAACGAUACUCCUCGGCUCGAGCACUGUAGAGGCAGGUGGAAUUCCUGGUGUAGCGGUGAAAUGCGCAGAUAUCAGGAGGAACACCGGUGGCGAAGGCGGAUCUCUGGGCCUUACCUGACGCUCAGGCACGAAAGCUAGGGGAGCGAACAGG
rnacentral:rRNA from 1 species